CGCCUGAUUAUUUCCUUUGAGUAAACUGGCUACACCAUUUCUCAGCUUGUAUUGCGAUAGUCUGCACCGAUCAGUGAGAUUCUGCUGGAUCCAAAUCUGCACAUGAGCCAACAAACAAUAACAAUGGGGUGUACCAGAGCCCUGUGUAAAAUUGACCCCCAUUGGUCAAUCCAAAAGACUGCUGCCAUCCUGAAACAAAAGAAGCUUCAUGCAGCCACCUGCUCUGAGUCCCAGGUGAAGAAAGGGCCAUCCAUGCACCCUCUCCCUCUAUACUUUGGCAAUUUCAUAGAGGCAUGGCAUUUUACAUUGGCAAAGACUGAACUCCUAUAUGUAGCUUAAGCUUGUAUCACUAGGCUUGUAAUCUGUAUUAUCGACUGUAAGAUACAGUUAAUUAAAUCAUAUUUCAGUAUUUCCAAAGCUUUGU
rnacentral:lncRNA from 1 species